GGUAAAGGAUUAUUUCAGAUAUACCGACUUAAUUAUUUUCAAAUAAGUGGGAUCCCAAAAAAUGAUUUAACGGCAAAAAUAAAGUGUAAAAUUAUAUUAAACCCAAUUUUCAUCAUUUCCUUUUCAUAUAUUGAAUACACUAUUUACACCAACCACUGGUGAAUUAUAUUCGGAUUUCGGUCUUAGGUAUCCGUCCUUGUCUCCGGGAAUAUUAUACCCACACAAGUUGUCAACAUCCGUUUUCAAACUGUUCAAAGUGUUCUUCACAAUCUCACUGAAAAAUAUUCACGCUAUCACUUCGUGCUCAGAUAAUAGAACAUUGUAAACCUCUAACAGCAAAUACAGACCAAAAUUAAUCAAAUUUGAAAGCACGGAUGAUCACGUGUAAUGCCGACUGAUGGAGAAAGAUGUUCACUAUGGAUCAAUAAUUCAAAACAGAGGACCUUUUUAUUAAAACAAAAAUACUUGUACAUGUAUGAAAUUCUGUACAUACAACAAGAAAACAGUAAUCAAAUGGAAUGUCCAGUAUUGUUGAAAGCAAAAUUAUUUUUGUUAACAGAAAACAAUAGGACUGCAAUAUAUUAAGGUACACAACACAUGGUGUCCGAAGAAUAAUUUUACUGGAGGAUAAAAAAUUUAAUACCUGGAAUCAGCAAUUUACAAAAUGUAUAUGAAAUUUAUUAAGAGAGAUAUAUUCAUGUACAGAAUGGUAACCCCACCAAAUAACCCAGGUGGUUCAAGUGAUUAUUAGCAGACAUUUUUGUUGAACUAAUGCAGGAUUAAAUAAAUGAAGCUUUAGCAGACUAUGGGCUCCAAAGUGUAGUAUAAAAAAGAGGAUUUUUAAAUAUGUGAGACUCAUCAACAUUAAAAUGUGCAUAAGUGAAAUGUUACAAUAUUUAGUAAAAAAUUCAGAUUA